rnacentral:lncRNA from 1 species
AUGAGGUGGGGAGGGGGGGGACAGGGUAGAUGCCACCCUCUGGAGUGACACUGGGACCUGCCCUGGGGUGGCUCAGCCCUCUGGCCACCCUGUCCCCUUCCCAAAGGCCUGGCUGGCACUGCCACCAGCACCCAACAGGUCCCCACUGGUGCCCACUGGUCCCCAUCAGUGCCCACCUGGCACCCAGUAGGUCCCCAUCAGUGCCCACUGGUCCCCAUCACUGCCACCAGUACCUACCAGGUCCCUGUUGGUACCUACUGGUCCCUAUCAUGUCCCACCUGGCACCCAGCGUGUCCCCAGCUGUACCCACUGGUUCCCAUCACUGCCACCAGCACCCAACAGGUCCCCACUGGUACCCACUGGUCUCCAUCAGUGCCCACCUGGCACCCAAUAGGUCCCCAUCAGUGCCACCAGCACCCAACGGGUCCCCACUGGUACCCUCUCGUCCCCAUCAGUGCCCACCUGGCACCCAACGAGUCCCCAUCAGUACUCACUGGUCCCCGUCACUGCCCACCUGGCACCCAGUGCGUCCCCCCCAUUGCCACCAGCACCCAACAGGUCCCCACUGGUACCCACUGGUUCCCCAUCCGUGCCCACUGGUCCCCAUCAAUGGGUCCCCAGGGGUCCCCAUCAGUGCCCACCUGGCACCCAGUGGGUCCCCAUCACUUCCAUCAGCACGCAUCAGGUCCUCACAUCACUGCCACCAGCACCCAAUGGGUCCCCACUGGUACCCUCUGGUCUCCAUCAGUGCCCACCUGGCACCCAACGAGUCCCCAUCAGUACUCACUGGUCCCCAUCACUGUCACCAGUACCCAACAGGUCCCCACUGGUACCCACUGGUCCCCAUCAGUGCCCACCUGGCACCCAGUAGGUCCCCAUCAGUGCCCACUGGUCCCCAUCACUGCCACCAGCACCCAACAGGUCCCCACUGGUACCCACUGUGUCCCCAUCACUGCCACCAGCACCCACCAGGUCCCCAUCAGUACCCACCAGCCCCCAUCCCUGCCUGCCUGGCACCCACCAAGUCCCCAUGGGUAUCCAUUCGUCCCCAUCACUGCCACCAGCACCCAAUGGGUCCCCAGUGGUCCCCAUCAGUGCCCACUGGUCCCCGUCACUUCCAUCAGCACCCAUCAGGUCCUCACUGGUACCUACUGGUCUCCAUCAGUGCCCACCUGGCACCUAACGAGCCCCCAUCAGUACUGACUGGUCCCCACCACUGCCACCAGCACCCAACAAGGCCCCAGUGGGACACACUGGGUCCCCACCACUGCCCACCUGGCACCCAAAGGGUCCCAUGGGUACCCACUCAUCCCCACCACUGCCACCAGCACCCAACAGGUCCCUACACAGCACCCAAAGGGUCCCCGUGGUACCCACUGGUCUCCAUCAUUGCCCACCUGGCACCCACUGGUCCUCGAUCACUGCCACCAGCACUCAGUGGGUCCCCACUGGUACCCACUGGGUCCCCAUCACUGCCCACCCAGCAACCAGUGGGUCCCCACUACGGCCACCAGCACCCAGUGGGUCCCCAUGGUACCUACUGGUCCCCGUCACUGCCCACCUGGCAACCAGUAGGUCCCCAUCACUGCCACCAGCACCCAGUGGGUCCCCAUGGUACCUACUGGUCCCCGUCACUGCCCACCUGGCAACCAGUAGGUCCCCAUCACUGCCACCAGCACCCAGUGGGUCCCCAUGGUACCCACUGGUCCCCAUCACUGCCCACCUGGCACCCACCAGUCCCCAGUCACUGCCAUGGGCACCCUGUGGGUCCCCAUCAGUGCCCACUGGUCCCCGUCACUUCCAUCAGCACCCAUCAGGUCCUCACUGGUACCUACUGGUCUCCAUCAGUGCCCACCUGGCACCUAACGAGCCCCCAUCAGUACUGACUGGUCCCCACCACUGCCACCAGCACCCAACAAGGCCCCAGUGGGACACACUGGGUCCCCACCACUGCCCACCUGGCACCCAAAGGGUCCCAUGGGUACCCACUCAUCCCCACCACUGCCACCAGCACCCAACAGGUCCCUACACAGCACCCCCCAGUGGGUCCCCAUGGUACCCACUGGUCCCCAUCACUGCCCACCUGGCAACCAGUAGGUCCCCAUCAUUGCCACCAGCACCCACUGGGUCCCUGCUGGUACCCACUGGGUCUCCAUCACUGCCCACCUGGCACCCACCAGUCCCCAGUCACCCCACCUGGCACCCAGUAGGUCCCCAUCAGUGCCCACUGGUCCCCAUCACUGCCCGCUAACCAGUGGGUCCCCACUACGGCCACCAGCACCCAGUGGGUCCCCAUGGUACCCAGUGGUCCCCAUCCCAGCCCACCUGGCAACCAGUAGGUCCCCAUCACUGCCACCAGCACCCAGUGGGUCCCCAUGGUACCUACUGGUCCCCAUCACUGCCCACCUGGCAACCAGUAGGUCCCAGCUACUGCCACCAGCACCCAGUGGGUCCCCAUCAGUGCCCACUGGUCCCCACCGCAGCCCACCCAGCAACCAGUGGGUCCCCAUCAUUGCCACCAGCUCCCAGUGGGUCCCCAUGGUACCCACUGGUCCCCAUCACAGCCCACCUGGCACCCACCGGUCCCCGAUCACUGCCACCAGCACCCAGUGAGUCCCCAUCAGUGCCCACUGGUCCCCAUUACUGCCUGCUUGGCACC